rnacentral:rRNA from 1 species
UAGGGAAUCUUGCGCAAUGGGCGAAAGCCUGACGCAGCGACGCCGCGUGCGGGAAGAAGGCCUUCGGGUUGUAAACCGCUUUCAGGAGGGACGAAGCCACUCGGGUUAAUAGCCCAGAGGGUGACGGUACCUCCAGAAGAAGCCCCGGCUAACUACGUGCCAGCAGCCGCGGUAAUACGUAGGGGGCGAGCGUUGUCCGGAUUUAUUGGGCGUAAAGAGCGUGUAGGCGGCCAGGUAGGUCCGUUGUGAAAACUCGAGGCUCAACCUCGAGACGUCGAUGGAAACCAUCUGGCUAGAGUUCGGAAGAGGAGAGUGGAAUUCCUGGUGUAGCGGUGAAAUGCGCAGAUAUCAGGAAGAACACCUAUGGCGAAGGCAGCUCUCUGGGACGGUACUGACGCUGAGACGCGAAAGCGUGGGGAGCGAACAGG